UUCAACUCCCAGAAUUCCUCCUCCAGUCAUGUUAGCUCCAGUCAUGUUAGUCCACAAGUCUUAAAGCUGUCAAAUUUGAAGACCCUUGACAUAGAGCUUACCAUGAUGAUAAAGCAACGAAUCAUGUAACCAGUUUGUGGUUAACUAUGAUAAACAUAAACAUGGAUGGAGGUGUCCAGGUUUGUUAGGCAUAUUCAAUAGCUGCAUGCUCAAAGUCAGAAUUCUUUAUCGUUCUGCUUUAGGCCAUAAAAGCAGAAAUGCCUGUAUUUCUGAGAAAGCUAUAAGCUUAAGAAUUUAAAGUUUUGAAAUAAACAACAAAAAGUCAAAUAAAGACUUUUAACACAAAUGUAUAAGCAAAACAAAGGACUGUGUCAGAGACUGUGUCAAUCAGAAGGAGGGAUCAAACAGGCAAUCAUCACCAAGAUACAAGAAGGCAAGGUCUGACACCACCCCACUUAAAUACCAUUGAACCUUACCUACAGUAGUCUUUCCCAGGGGCAAACUACCAGUCUGGAAAAAUUGCUAUGAAAUGGGCAUGGAACAAUAAACUAGUAAUUUGAAUUCUUCACCUGUGGGUAGAGAUGGGAAGGAUUGGAAAACAGAAAAAUUGGGAGAAAAAAGGGGGUCUUUUUUUUUCCAAAGAUGUUUGGAAAAAACUCUUUUUUCCCAAUUUUCCCAGACCUUCUUGUCUCUACAAGUGGGUCUUGUCAUCGGGCAAAUUUGGAAUAUUAGAAUUUUUGCUAUAAGAUUUUGAAAAUAAUUACCAGUAAAUAGUAUCUUCAGAGGAACUAAAUUAGUCUAUUUUAAAUCAUAAGAAAUUCCACACUUUUAUAAUUUUGGAAAUUGGACACUAGAGGGCUUAGAGAUUCCAGGAAGAAAAGGAAAAAGGAGAGAGAAAGGUUUGCUUUUUGUUUUGGUCAACAUUGAAACAAAAUAACAGAAAAUAAUGACAUGAAACGUUUUAGGAAUCUUUGACAUAUGGAGUCAAAAAAUAGCAGCUACAAUGUCAGCAAUGCCAUCUGCUUCUAUAGAUAAUUUUUAAAAGAUGUUAAAGAACAAAUGACAGAUGUGAAAAGAGAAUACCCUAGAAGAUCUAAAGCCCUGAAGAAUUCUUUGAGAUGGGAAAAAGAAAAUUUGAAGAGAGAUCAAAUAUUCCAACAAUCCUACAAUGAAAUAAAGACUAAAGUGAUUAGUAGCAAAAGGAAAGACUAAAGUUUAUUUGUUUAAGGUUAAAACAAGAUGUUUCUACAUUAAAAAAAAAUAAUUAUGGAUCUUUUUGCUGGCAUCAAGACUGAAUGAAAUGUUAAUGAUUUAUGAAUUUGCGCAUGCAUAAGGGAUGGGUUAUGGGAAGAAGAGAUGCUUGCAUGUA